GUUGGAGACCUGACAGACUACAGCAUUACAGCCGGUGAUGGUUGGAGACCUGACAGACUACAGCCGGUGAUGGUUGGAGACCUGACAGACUACAGCAUUACAGCCGGUGAUGUUUGGAGAAGAGGAGAUAUAUCAAUUGAACAACCAGAAGCCUCGUUGACUUGAACCAGCAACCUAGCCGAUACAAGGACCAGGAGACCAGUCAACUCAUUAGUUUCUGCGCCGUAAAGUUGGGGACCUCUUUGACUGUGGUAACGAUGCCGGCAGAAACGCGUGCCACCGGGGACGGAACCUGCCAGGCUCUGUGCCAAACCCUGGUCUCUCAGAACGGGAUCCAGAGAAACACGGCUGACAUCUCCAAGUCUCUCCUCUACACAUCCCUGAUGGGGCUGCUACUGGUUGUAGACAGAGAG